AGGAUGAACGCUGGCGGCGUGCCUAACACAUGCAAGUCGAACGUCCUGUCUCGCAAGAGGCAGGGAGUGGCGGACGGGUGAGUACCACGUGGGUCAUCUACCGUGAGGUGAGGAAUACCGGCGAGAAAUCGCCGACAAUCCCGCAUAGCUUCGGGAACGAAGAAAGCAGCAAUGCGCCUGGGGAUGAGCCUGUGGCCGAUUAGCUAGCUGGUGGGGUAACGGCUCACCAGGGCGACGAUCGGUAGCUGGUCUGAGAGGAUGAUCAGCCACACUGGGAUUGAGAACGGCCCAGACUCCUACGGGGGCAGCAGUGAGGAAUCUUCCGCAAUGGGGGCAACCCUGACGGAGCAACGCCGCGUGCAGGAGACGCUUUUCGGAGUGUAAACUGCUUUUCUCGAGGAAGAAGUCGGACGGUACUCGAGGAGAGCCCGGCUAACUACGCGCCAGCAGCCGCGGUAA
rnacentral:rRNA from 1 species